AUCACAUUUGAGUAAUUCUAUACCAAUUCUAUAAGGCUAGUACUCUUGCUUUGAAGAAAUAAGUUGAAUCGAUCUGCUCUAUUCAAGUCGAAAAAUAUGAGUUCUGGUUAUCCUCCACCUGGAUACGGUGGAUAUCCACCACCAUCAACCGGCUAUCCUCAGCCUCCUCAGCCUCAAGUUAUUGUCCAACAACCACCACCACCACCACAACAAUCGCAAUCCACUGGAUGCAUGGAAGGAUGUUUGGCUGCUCUUUGCUGUUGUUGCUGCUUGGAAAUGCUUUGCUCAUAAAACAGAUCAAGGAUGUAUGCUGCUUCAAAUUGGAAGCUAAAUAAUGCGGAAUAAUAUAUACAGU